CCUCCCCUCCCCCAUUCGGCCUCUACAUCACUCGUUUGGUGCGCCUCCCGCCGAUCGUGCUCCACGCUGUCAACGUCGUUUCUGCGUUCGGUUCCUGCUCUUCUCCGCCGCUUCCUCUGCUCCAGUCUUGCUGUCCGGUGCUGCUCCUCGCCGCGUCCUCGGUCACUGCAGAACAUGGCUUACUAUAAGAUAUCUCAUGUUGAUGGUCAGAUUACUAAUCCUGAACAACGAAUUGCAAGUGAUGUGCCAAGAUUUUGUUCAGAGUUGAGUGAACUGGUACAGGAAGACCUGACAGCAGUUACUGAUGGCCUUCUCUAUACUUGGCGCCUGUGCUCUUAUGCUAGCCCAAAAUAUAUUUUUUGGAUAUUGGCCUAUGUGUUGGGAGCAGGGACCAUGAUUAGAAACUUUUCUCCUGCUUUUGGGAAACUGAUGUCAAAAGAACAACAGUUGGAAGGUGAAUAUCGGCAGCUUCAUUCACGUUUAAGGACCCAUGCUGAAAGUAUAGCAUUCUAUGGUGGAGAACAUAGAGAGGAAUCACAUAUUGAGCAGAAAUUUAAGGAUCUUGUAAGACACAUGAGAAUUGUUCUUCAUGACCAUUGGUGGUUUGGCAUGAUUCAAGAUUUUUUGGUGAAGUAUCUUGGUGCUACAGUUGCAGUUGUAUUGAUUAUAGAGCCCUUUUUUUGCUGGCAAUCUUAGACCUGAUGCCUCUACUUUGGGAAGGGCAACAAUGUUAAGCAACUUAAGAUAUCACACCAGUGUUAUUAUAUCACUAUUUCAGUCCUUGGGAACUCUUUCUAUAAGUUCAAGGCGACUCAAUUGUCUCAGUGGUUAUGCUGAUCGCAUUCAUGAGUUAAUAGUAAUAUCAAGAGAGCUAAACUCUGAAGAUAAAACAUCUCUACAAAGAAGUGGAAGUAGGAACUACUUCAGUGAAGCUGAUUAUGUGGAGUUUUCUAAGGUCAAGGUUGUUACCCCAACUGGUAAUGUUUUGGUGGAAGAUCUGACUCUUAAAGUUGAAUCAGGAUCGAAUAUGUUAAUUACAGGUACUAAACCUGGAGAAUAUGGACAAAACCAGGCAUUGGAAAAUCGUGGGCUGUAGCGCAUACACAGGGGAGGGGCUGCUUGAGGGAUUUGAUUGGUUGGUUCAGGACAUGAUGAUAUCUUAGGAUCUAGUCAACAUUAAGCAAUAGAGUUAGGUUUUUUUUAUUGGCCCUCUCAGAGAACUGAUUAAGGUCCAUUUGUACUGUUUUAUUAACUAUCUUAUUGUUGUGGAAUUUAGUCAAGCUGUGAAUUCGACAAAAAAAGAAAAAAGUCAAGUUGUAAAUUUUUUUGGGUUAAUAGUAUUAUUAAAACUUUCAAUGGGAAGUUUGGGUCAAUAUUAGUGACUAAUCAGCCAUAAAAGCAAAUUAAAUAACAAAUAUUUUUUUGAUUUUA